CCUACGGGAGGCAGCAGUGGGGAAUAUUGCACAAUGGGGGAAACCCUGUUGCACCGCCGCCGCGUGAGUGGGGAAGUAUUUCGGUAUGUAAAGCUCUAUCAGCAGGGAAGAAAAUGACGGUACCUAACUAAGAGGCCCCGGCUAACUACGUGCCAGCAGCCGCGGUAAUACGUAGGGGGCAAGCGUUAUCCGGAUUUACUGGGUGUAAGGGGAGCGUAGACGGCUAAUCAAGUCAGAAGUGAAAACCCAGGGCUCAACCUUGGGACUGCUUUUGAAACUGAGUAGCUAGAGUGCAGGAGAGGUAAGCGGAAUUCCUAGUGUAGCGGUGAAAUGCGUAGAUAUUAGGAGGAACACCAGUGGCGAAGGCGGCUUACUGGACUGUAACUGACGUUGAGGCUCGAAAGCGUGGGGAGCAAACAGGAUUAGAUACCCCGGUAGUC
rnacentral:rRNA from 1 species